UACAGAGGGGGCAAGCGUUGUUCGGAAUUACUGGGCGUAAAGGGCGCGUAGGCGGCCUUCUAAGUCGAACGUGAAAUCCCCGGGCUCAACCCGGGAACUGCGUCCGAUACUGGAAGGCUUGAAUCCGGGAGAGGGAUGUGGAAUUCCGAGGUGUAGCGGUGAAAUGCGUAGAUAUCGGGAGGAAUACCAGUGGCGAAGGCGGCUGCCUGGCCUGUUCUUGACGCUGAGGCGCGAAAAGCUGGGGGGAGCAAACGGG
rnacentral:rRNA from 1 species